rnacentral:pre_miRNA from 1 species
GAAGGGCCGUGUGGGGAUGAUUCAACUGCUGGUUCAUGGAUUCUAUUAUCUUGUACUGUUCAAGGAUCUGUUUUCGUGGCAAGAUAAUGGUGUGCAUGACACAGGAGUUGUAUUGCCACUACGCUGUUU